rnacentral:rRNA from 1 species
GACGAACGCUGUCAGCGUGCCUAAUACAUGCAAGUAGAACGCUGUAGAGAGGAGCUUGCUCUUCUUGGAUGAGUUGCGAACGGGUGAGUAAUGUGUAGGUAACCUGCCUGGUAGCGGGGGAUAACUAUUGGAAACGAUAGCUAAUACCGCAUGAAAUUGCUUAUCGCAUGAUAAUUAAUUGAAAGAUGCAAUUGCAUAACUACCAGAUGGACCUUCGUAGUAUUAGCUAAUUGGUGAGGUAACGGCUCACCAAGGCGACGAUACAUAGCCGACCUGAGAGGGUGAUCGGCCACACUGGGACUGAGACACGGCCCAGACUUCUACGGGAGGCAGCAGUAGGGAAUCUUCGGCAAUGGGGGGAACCCUGACCGAGCAACGCCGCGUGAGUGAAGAAGGUUUUCGGAUCGUAAAGCUCUGUUGUAAGAGAAGAACGGGUGUGAGAGUGGAAAGUUCACACUGUGACGUAUCUCACCAGAAAC